rnacentral:rRNA from 1 species
AUUGAACGCUGGCGGCAGGCCUAACACAUGCAAGUCGAGCGGAUGAAGGGAGCUUGCUCCUGGAUUCAGCGGCGGACGGGUGAGUAAUGCCUAGGAAUCUGCCUGGUAGUGGGGGAUAACGUCCGGAAACGGGCGCUAAUACCGCAUACGUCCUGAGGGAGAAAGUGGGGGAUCUUCGGACCUCACGCUCUCAGAUGAGCCUAGGUCGGAUUAGCUAGUUGGUGGGGUAAAGGCCUACCAAGGCGACGAUCCGUAACUGGUCUGAGAGGAUGAUCAGUCACACUGGAACUGAGACACGGUCCAGACUCCUAAGGGAGGCAGCAGUGGGGAAUAUUGGACAAUGGGCGAAAGCCUGAUCCAGCCAUGCCGCGUGUGUGAAGAAGGUCUUCGGAUUGUAAAGCACUUUAAGUUGGGAGGAAGGGCAGUAAGUUAAUACCUUGCUGUUUUGACGUUACCAACAGAAUAAGCACCGGCUAACUUCGUG